UACGUAGGUGGCAAGCGUUGUCCGGAUUUACUGGGCGUAAAGAGCGCGCAGGCGGUCGUGCAAGUCGCGUGUGAAAGCCCCCGGCUCAACUGGGGAGGGUCACGCGAUACUGCUCGACUCGAAGGCAGGAGAGGGAAGUGGAAUUCCCGGUGUAGUGGUGAAAUGCGUAGAUAUCCGGAGGAACACCAGUGGCGAAGGCGACUUUCUGGCCUGUUCUUGACGCUGAGGCGCGAAAGCUAGGGGAGCAAACGGG
rnacentral:rRNA from 1 species